GGGGAGGGCAGCCGCUCUCGCAGCACCCGAGGGCUGAGCGGACAAGGCGAGACACGCGCGCAGUCUGCGGAUGGAAGCGGCGUGGAGCGAGCGGCUUCUAGUCGUUUAGUCGUGUCCGACUCUUCGUGACCCCAUGGACCAGAGCACGCCAGGCACUCCUGUCUUCAUUAAAUGGAAUACUAACUAAUUUAUACUAAGGAAAGAAGAGGAACAAGGACAAACUGCCUGUGCCUUCUGGCUGAAGUUUUUUUCACAGAUUUCGUGGAGAGAGGUAUAUAUUCUGAUAGUGAUCAACAGGCACAUUCUUCAAAGGUCCUGGACACCGCUAUAGAAUAAGUCCACUUUGGAUUGCUUCCAAUACUUUUCACAGCACUGCAAGUAUGAAAGGCGAGUUCAUUUUGUAUUUCAGUCUCCCCACCCCUUCACCCCCCACCUAUAUCGGCUUGCUCUGGAAAUUGGUCCAAUAUUGUUCACUUUAAUCACCUGAAAUCCUUACUGAAUUCAAUGAAUUCAACCUCUUUCCUCAGGUAAAGCAACUAUAUAUUUUUUUCUCCUGGGAGUGUUGCGAAAUUAGGGUUAAGAACACAAAGAGGUGGGAGCAGGUGGCUGGAGCAAAGAAAAAUGGAAAAAAAUCACAAAGGACCCAAAAGAAAAAGAAUAACAGAAGAAAAGAUGAAGAGAGUCAAAGCCAGGCUAAUGUCAUUAUUUUGAUCUGAAGAACCCUGCCACUCACACCUUGCUUAUGGUAUUCCAGCAACCAGGUAAGGAAGAAAUAUGUGAAGGAAAAGCAAACCCACCAAACUCAGAAGGAGGUGGUUUUUCUGGAGUAGUCUCUGGACCUAAAGAAGGAAACAGCACUGCCACACUAAAAAAAAUACAGGGCUCAUGAGAACAUCCGAAGAGCCAUCAGUUGUCCAGCAUCCUGUUCUCACAGUGGUCAGUGACAUGUGGCAUGCCGACCAGCAGAACCUGAGAGCAAAAAUACUCUGCCGCAUGUGAUUCCCAGCAACUGGUAUUCAGAGGCAUACUAUUUCUGACAGUGGAAGUACAACAUAGUCAUUGUGGCUAGUAACUGCUGUUGGACGGCCUUGACAAUCAAAUGUAUAUGUAUUUUAUGUCUUAUAUUUUGUUUUCUAUUUUUUAUUGUACCUUGUCCAGAGAACAGUGUCUUUAACCAUGCUGUAUUACUGCUUUGAAAAGAAAGAUGAUGUUUA